UCAUCUCUUCUUCCAAAUUCGAAGCUUUCUCAUUUUCACUCUCUGUCAUUAUACCGCCAUGGUAAGUCAUGACGCCUAUCUCUAUAUAUAUAACACACACAUACACACAUUUGUGUGUACGUGUAAUUAUUUUAAUGGUAACUCGAUCGAUGUCAUGCUCAUAUAUAUUCCAUGUGAACUUCUCCAUGUUCGCAGGUUGAGGAGACACCGAAGACAGGCUACAAAUUACAUAGCAGCCUUAGCUUGAAGCCCAAUGGUCAAAAGGGUGGCUUCAAAUCUUCUGGUUUCAUCUUUGGUAAAUCAUUACUUGUUUGUACAUAGUUACUAGUGAAUAUUAAAAGGCAAACGUCU
rnacentral:lncRNA from 1 species